rnacentral:rRNA from 1 species
UACGUAGGGGGCUAGCGUUGUCCGGAAUCACUGGGCGUAAAGGGCGCGUAGGCGGCCCGGCAAGUCAGUGGUGAAAGCCCGAGGCUCAACUUCGGGUCGGCCACUGAUACUGCUAGGCUUGAGUCGACUAGAGGCAGAUGGAAUUCCGGGUGUAGCGGUGGAAUGCGUAGAGAUCCGGAAGAACACCGGUGGCGAAGGCGGGUCUCUGGGCAAUAACUGACGCUGAGGAGCGAAAGCGUGGGGAGCGAACAGG